rnacentral:rRNA from 1 species
CGCUACGUUGUUACUUUCGGGUGCACGUGGCUCAAAGAUGCUAGUUCUUUCAUGAUUAUGUGAUAGGUGGU